rnacentral:rRNA from 1 species
CCUACGGGUGGCAGCAGUGGGGAAUAUUGCACAAUGGGCGAAAGCCUGAUGCCGCAACGCCGCGUGAAGGAAGAAGGCCUUCGGGUCGUAAACUUCUGUCCUUGGGGAAGAAGAACUGACGGUACCCACGGAGGAAGCCCCGGCUAACUACGUGCCAGCAGCCGCGGUGAUACGUAGGGGGCAAGCGAUAUCCGGAAUUAUUGGGCGUAAAGAGUACGUAGGUGGCAACCUUAGCGCAGGGUUUAAGGAAAUGGCACAACCAUUGUUCGCCCUGCGAAAUGGGAUGCUUGAGUGCAGGAGAGGAAAGCGGAAUUCCUAGUGUAGCGGUGAAAUGCGUAGAUAUUAUGAGGAACAGCAGUGGCGAAGGCGGCUUUCUUGACUGUAACUGACACUGAGGUACGAAAGCGUGGUGAGCAAACAGGAUUAGAUACCCCAGUAGUC